CAGUAAGUAGUUUAUUAAAAUAUUAAUUUUGGGGAUUAAAGAUGGGUUUAACUUUUUACUGA
rnacentral:tRNA from 1 species